rnacentral:rRNA from 1 species
GAUGAACGCUGGCGGCGUGCUUAACACAUGCAAGUCGAACGAAAAGCUUAAGAUUGAUUCUUCGGAUGACGUCUUUUGUGGCUUAGUGGCGGGCGGGUGAGUAACGCGUGGGUAACCUGCCUCACACAGGGGGAUAACAGUUAGACAGAACUGAUCAUCCCGCAUAACCCGAUAGGAGCGCAGGAUCCAGACGGGAUAGAUGGAUCGGUGUGAGAUGGACCCGCGUCUGAUUAGCGAGUUGGUGAGGUAACGACCAACCAAGGACACGAUCAGUAGCCGGGCGGAGAGGCGGAACGGCCACAUCUGGACUGAGACCCGGACUCCACUCGUACGGGAAGCUGCAGUGUGGAACAUUGUAGAAUGGGGGAAACCCUAAUAAAGCGACGUCGGGGGAGUGAAGAAGUAUUUCGGUACGCAAAGCUCUAUCAGAAGGGAAGAAAAUGACGGUAAUUGACUAAGAAGCCCCGGCUAACUACGUG